AGCCCUGUAGCUCAAUGUGAGAGCAUGCGCCUUUGAAGCGCAGAGUGAUGGUGCAAGUCCAUCCAGGGCCGCCA
rnacentral:tRNA from 1 species